rnacentral:tRNA from 1 species
GCGCCCAUAGCUCAGUGGAUAGAGCAGUGGUCUUCGGAACCACGUGCCGGGGUUUCGAGUCCCUCUGGGUGCA